GAUGAACGCUGGCGGCGUGCCUAAUACAUGCAAGUCGAGCGAACAGACGAGGAGCUUGCUCCUCUGACGUUAGCGGCGGACGGGUGAGUAACACGUGGAUAACCUACCUAUAAGACUGGGAUAACUUCGGGAAACCGGAGCUAAUACCGGAUAAUAUAUUGAACCGCAUGGUUCAAUAGUGAAAGCCGGUUUUGCUGUCACUUAUAGAUGGAUCCGCGCCGCAUUAGCUAGUUGGUAAGGUAACGGCUUACCAAGGCAACGAUGCGUAGCCGACCUGAGAGGGUGAUCGGCCACACUGGAACUGAGACACGGUCCAGACUCCUACGGGAGGCAGCAGUAGGGAAUCUUCCGCAAUGGGCGAAAGCCUGACGGAGCAACGCCGCGUGAGUGAUGAAGGUCUUCGGAUCGUAAAACUCUGUUAUUAGGGAAGAACAAAUGUGUAAGUAACUAUGCACGUCUUGACGGUACCUAAUCAGAAAACCACGGCUAACUACGUG
rnacentral:rRNA from 1 species